GCCAGACUCCUACGGGAGGCAGCAGUUAGGAAUAUUCGUCAAUGGGGGAAACCCUGAACGAGCAAUGCCGCGUGAAGGAUGACGGUCCUAUGGAUUGUAAACUUCUGUUGUUAGGGAAGAACGACCUAAGUAGGAAAUGACUUAGGAGUGGCGGUACCUUUCAAGAAAGCUCCGGCUAACUACGUGCCAGCAGCCGCGGUAAUACGUAGGAGGCAAGCGUUAUCCGGAAUGACUGGGCGUAAAGGGUGCGUAGGUGGUUUGACAAGUUAGUAGCGCAACUCCGGAGCUUAACUUCGGAACUACUACUAAAACUGUUGGACUUGAGUGCAGGAGGGGCAAUCGGAAUUCCUAGUGUAGCGGUGGAAUGCGUAGAUAUUAGGAGGAACACCAGUGGCGAAGGCGGAUUGCUAGACUGUAACUGACACUGAGGCACGAAAGCGUGGGGAGCAAACAGGAUUAGAUACCCCUGUA
rnacentral:rRNA from 1 species